CAAGCUUGAGCAAGCAAAAGUAAAUACAUAUUUUCUUACUGAUCAUCUGGGUAUUUUUUCCUGCCUAUUCAUUUUCAGUAAAAGUGAUGUACAUUUAUUUUCUAUUUACAGCGCCUCCCGCCCCCAAUAAUACUAAAAACCCUGCAAUGCCUUGCUUUUCUAAUUCUUAAAGGAAACAGGGCUUAUUGCCUCCUGCAAGGAACCAACGUCCGUUCAAGGAAUGAGAAAUGAUUAAAACCAGCUGGCUAGGCAAAAGACAGAGACCACUGGGAAGCAGAAAUCAAGAGACAAUUUUCCCAUUAGAGAAAUAACUAUUCCCUACAUGAAGCAUUUUUCCUCCCACCUCUUCUCUACGAUCCCUAGAUUUAAGGGAAAUUAAUUACUGGCCAGACCAUCAGUCAUUAUCGCUGGACUCUAAGAAACAGAUACCAGAUGGAAUUGAAGAGUUGGAAUGCACGAGAAACAGAAAUUGCACAGGCAAUACUUAUAUCAUUUCCUAAUUUAAAAAAAUAAAGAAACCAAAGAACACUAUUCUAAGAGAAAA
rnacentral:lncRNA from 1 species